AGCCAGCUCUGCCAGGGGCUAUCCGGGAAGACCUCACAGAAGAGGUGACAUUUAGCUGGAACUUGAGGAUGGAAUAAGAAAUUGGCAGAAAGAGGAAGGGGAAAACAUUAUAGGAGGUAGAAGGAAGAUGGUGCAGAGAUGCACAGGGGCGUUGGGGAAGGAGCUAGUAGUUCAGAGGGUGGAGGACCCAGGGGAAGUGUGGGAACCUGAAAGUCAACGUGUUGCAACCCCGGGAGGACUGUGAGUGUCCUGCCGGGUCUCAAAAUGCAGUUUCCCAUGCCUCCCGCCCAGGGGCUGGGCAAACCCUCUCUGGGCCUGGGCUUCUGUGUCUGGUUGGUGGUGAUAGGCUUAUGCAGGGGCCGUGGCAAGUGUCCAGGAAGUGCUGGUGUCCUCAUGCUUCAGUCUUCGCCUCUGGAUUGAGUGUGUGUUCGCGUGUCCGGGCCAGGGCGCUGGGGGAGCUGCUGCAAUCAAAAUGGUAAUGAGACCCUGAUUGUGUCUCUCAACGCCUUACUUCUUCCAUGCCUCUGCCUGCCCCCAAAUGUCGCCUGGUCUUUGUGGCGCCCUGGGGAGCAGCACCA
rnacentral:lncRNA from 1 species